rnacentral:rRNA from 1 species
UACGAAGGGGGCUAGCGUUGUUCGGAUUUACUGGGCGUAAAGCGCACGUAGGUGGAUCGUUAAGUCAGGGGUGAAAUCCUGGAGCUCAACUCCAGAACUGCCUUUGAUACUGGCGAUCUCGAGUCCGGAAGAGGUGAGUGGAACUCCUAGUGUAGAGGUGGAAUUCGUAGAUAUUAGGAAGAACACCAGUGGCGAAGGCGGCUCACUGGUCCGGAACUGACGCUGAGGUGCGAAAGCGUGGGGAGCAAACAGG